rnacentral:rRNA from 1 species
AAUAGAUACCCUGGUAGUCCACGCCGUAAACGAUGAGUGCUAAGUGUUAGAGGGUUUCCGCCCUUUAGUGCUGCAGCAAACGCAUUAAGCACUCCGCCUGGGGAGUACGGCCGCAAGGCUGAAACUCAAAGGAAUUGACGGGGGCCCGCACAAGCGGUGGAGCAUGUGGUUUAAUUCGAAGCAACGCGAAGAACCUUACCAGGUCUUGACAUCUCCUGACAACCCUAGAGAUAGGGCGUUCCCCUUCGGGGGACAGGAUGACAGGUGGUGCAUGGUUGUCGUCAGCUCGUGUCGUGAGAUGUUGGGUUAAGUCCCGCAACGAGCGCAACCCUUGAUCUUAGUUGCCAGCAUUCAGUUGGGCACUCUAAGGUGACUGCCGGUGACAAACCGGAGGAAGGUGGGGAUGACGUCAAAUCAUCAUGCCCCUUAUGACCUGGGCUACACACGUGCUACAAUGGAUGGUACAAAGGGCUGCGAGACCGCGAGGUUAAGCGAAUCCCAUAAAACCGAUUCUCAGUUCGGAUUGCAGG